AAUGCUAUCCGGCCCAACUUGAUCCACCCCAUUUCUCCAGUUUCCUUCAGGCCAAACAAAAAAAAAUGCUAGACAGCAACCAUGCUUUCACGCGUCCCUUUCAUUCUUAACAGAGAAGCAGUUUUUGACUUCUAUUCUUGGCUAACAAUUUCUUUUGCUUUCAUUUUAAUUAUUUUACAAACAAAUAACAAUUACUUAUUCAUGCAACUUCUUCUUCUCACUCUGCUUUUCACCAGACAAAUUUCAACCCUUAACCCUUCCCUAUAUUCAAAUUUACAUCUAAUUUCUGCUAACAUUUGGGUUGUCUUUACAUGAAUCAGUCUCCAAUGUUGAUAAAUUAUACAUUUCGGUAAUUGCUUUCUUUUGUUCUUUGCAGAAAUUUGAUGUCAAAUACUGCAGAAUGGAUUUCCCUCCAAAGGUGAAUCCUAAUUCGAAAGAAGAGGCUUUCCAAUUUUAAUAUUGGAGGAUCUCCAUUUAACUUAGUUGAUAUUGCUGAUGUUGUGAGCGGGUCCUAUGCAUUCAUUCCAAACAACUAUUUCAAAACUAGGAUUAAUGCAAAUCAGGAGAGAAUUUACAUGUGCCUGCCCUCAAUUUAUCAGCAACUAUUCAAACCAUUUGGAUUUCAACAAGCCUGGAUGGUUAAUCGACGGUGACAAAAAAAAAACCAUGGUGGUUUUUAAGUUUACAAAAGGAUUUUGGUAUAUAAGUUCCGGUAUUUUAGUUGCUAAUAGAUUUGGUUUCACACAACCCACUGCUAUUUAUCUCUAUCCUCGAUUACAGAAUAACGAGUUCUCUUUGAUGAGACUGAUCCAAUAGAUUUUCCGGUGUUUGAUGUCAACGUCACCGACGCCAUGGCUAAUAGCAGUCAAGUAUUGCAUUUUCCAAACAGGAUUUCUAAAUAUGUUCUGUUGGACAAUCAACGUCGAAUUAAUCUUAGAGAUGUUGAAACCGGAAGAAUUAUCCGUUGUCCAAUCGCCACUUCCGGCCGCUACAAAUAUGAAAGGUGUAUAAGUGAAGGUUGGAAUGAUUACAAGUUGGAGAAAAUGUUGAAUGCUGGAGAUUUGUUGAGGUGCACAAUUGAAAACCCACCAAGAUAUAUGAAUAUCGAGGUUAUACGUCGCUGAGGACGUGGGUGGUUACUAAUGUUGAAGUUAUAUCCAGAUGUAUUUUGGAAUUCGUAUUUAUGGUCAAUGUUUAACAUAAAGAUACUUUGUAUUUUAUCUAGCACAAUUAUGUUUGGUACUUAUAUAAUGUAGCACCAUUAUGUUUUAAAGUAAUGUACCUUGAGAUGGAUAUAUAUUUGUGGCUAUUAAUCUAUUUGAUGUCUUCCUUACGAAAAAUAUGUCAAAUGCAAUAUC